rnacentral:rRNA from 1 species
UACGUAGGUCGCAAGCGUUGUCCGGAAUUAUUGGGCGUAAAGAGCUCGUAGGCGGCUUGUCACGUCGGAUGUGAAAGCCCGGGGCUUAACUCCGGGUCUGCAUUCGAUACGGGCUGGCUAGAGUGUGGUAGGGGAGAUCGGAAUUCCUGGUGUAGCGGUGAAAUGCGCAGAUAUCAGGAGGAACACCGGUGGCGAAGGCGGAUCUCUGGGCCAUUACUGACGCUGAGGAGCGAAAGCGUGGGGAGCGAACAGG